rnacentral:rRNA from 1 species
GAUGAACGCUGGCGGCGGGCCUAAUACAUGCAAGUCGAGCGAACAGACGAGGAGCUUUCCUCUCUUACGGUAGCGUCGGACGGGUGAGUAACACGUGGAUAACCUACCUAUAAGACUGGGAUAACUUCGGGAAACCGGAGCUAAUACCGGAUAAUAUAUUGAACCGCAUGGUUCAAGAGUGAAAGACGGUUUUGCUGUCACUUAUAGAUGGAUCCGCGCCGCAUUAGCUAGUUGGUAAGGUAACGGCUUACCAAGGCAACGAUGCGUAGCCGACCUGAGAGGGUGAUCGGCCACACUGGAACUGAGACACGGUCCAGACUCCUACGGGAGGCAGCAGUAGGGAAUCUUCCGCAAUGGGCGAAAGCCUGACGGAGCAACGCCGCGUGAGUGAUGAAGGUCUUCGGAUCGUAAAGCUCUGUUAUUAGGGAAGAACAAAUGUGUAAGUAACUAUGCACGUCUUGACGGUACCUAAUCAGAAAGCCACGGCUAACUACGUG